CAGCUUUCCUCGUUAGCCGAAUCGCUAGCCAAUCGUGUGCCGCCGCCGAUG
rnacentral:SRP_RNA from 1 species